AUCAACAUAGUCUUUUUGAGAUUUGAAAUAAUACUUUUAUUAUAAUAAAAAACCCCACUAAUGGCUGGGAAUGUACAUAUUACAAACUGAAACAAAAGACCAAAAAUAUGGUAGCACCAUAUAUAAAGUUACCAAAUCCUUACAACUAAUUACAACUAAUGAUAAUGAACUUUCAAAUCUUCCAAACAUUAAUGGUGGCCAUUAAAGCCAACACUUUUAGAGGCGAUAUGCUUGGCUACCUACAUGAUGUGCACUUCGUUCCAUACUUUUUAUUAGCUUUUCAACUUCUUCCAACAUCAAUACAUCACAAUAAUAAUUCAAAACCAUGUUGUAAGUAACCAAAUCAAGUGGAAACCCGUUUCUUCUCAUAAAGUUCUUGAUUGCUAGUGUUUAUUGAAGUAAAAAGUCCAAUAUCAGUAGAGGUGAUAUUGAAUCUGGAACAACAAAACUGAGUUAAUUAUACUAUGAAUGGAGAAUUAUGGGAAUACCACCAUAAUUAUAUGCAGAUUCCUUCAAUCGACAGAGGAGCCUUAACAUCCAAAACAAUAAUAUCACAUCAAAAUCUGCUCUUUGUAAAAUGGAUCUUUUAGCAUGACCAAAAAACUCGAUUUCAGAACCGCCUUAACAUGCUGCCAGUUGUUAUCACAUCAAUUGAACAAAUGACAAGAAUAUCACAUUCUACUGUCAUCAUUACUUGGAAGUUGGUGUACCAAUUCCAAAUGAAAGGAAAAACAUUUGAUUCCAAGUUAUUUUUUAUAAUUAAUUCAUGUAAUUUUUAUUAGGAUCGGUUAAUGUUUAACGAGAAUCUUAACCUAUAUGCUGCUAAAUAGCAAACAAAAGCAACAAUAAGAAGUGAAGUUCAUUCAUGCAUUCCAUCAAACACUUGAUAUGCACAGAUUUGAUCACAAAAUGUUACUAGCACCGGAAAUCGGAUGGAAAUGAAAAUGAGGAAUAAAUAUGGGGGGUAAUAAGGGCUACCCCCGGCUCUAUGCUAGUUCCGCCAAUGGCUUCAAUCGUUGGUGAGUGAGUAAAUUAACAAUAAAGGAAAUCUGACCAGGGCUUCAUAUGAAUCGACAAUCUGAAAUUGCAUAGCAGAAAUAUGAAAUUGGUUACACUUACAUCUUUUUCCGGCCACCUCCGGCUAUACGCCGCCUCUGUCGUCUCCGAUGGUCAGCGUCACCAACAACAACGAUUACCCUCUUUUUUUGGUGUUCCCGUGACCACAUAGCAACACAGGGGACCGAGAACCUACAUACGUUCAAUUAUGGCUUCUGUAUCUCGAUUUCUUUCAACAAAUGCCCUAUCUUUUUAUUGCUUUGAAUCUGCUCCCAUCUACUCGUCUCAUCUGAAUAUACGACCACAUACACCCAAAACGAGGUGUAUUUUGUUGUCUUC
rnacentral:lncRNA from 1 species